GCCGCGCCAGCGCGCAGCCAGUGUCAUGCCCAAAAGUCCAAAACCAAACUACUAUUCAAUUUGGUGUUCAUAUUUUGAAUACCCAUUCAUUGCCACAAGCAUCUAACAAAUGGAUAUAGCUAUCUUCUCUCCAUCAUCGCUAUUCUCCGAAGAUGACACUUCUUCUCGUGAGGAAAAUUCAGACGCUCGGGAAAACUAUGUUGAGAGGAAGCACCAGUUUCCUGGGACGGAGUUGAUUAUUCGAGAAUUUUCCUUUCAUCAACUGAAUGCUAACUUGCUCUGGCCUGGGACAUUUGCCUUUGCAGAAUGGUUGGUUCAGCACAGUUCAUGCAUCGAAGGACGACGUGCCAUUGAGUUGGGGAGUGGCACAGGCGCUUUGGCCAUAUUUCUUCGAAAAUCAUAUGAUCUUGAUAUUACAACUUCAGACUACGAUGAUCAAGAAAUAGAGGAUAACAUAGCUCACAACUGCAGGGAAAAUGAAAUACCUGCCAUUCCUCACAUAAAACACACAUGGGGAGACAAGUUUCCAAAUUCUGACCCUGACUGGGACCUGAUUAUUGCGAGUGAUAUCUUAUUGUAUGUGAAACAGUAUGCAAAUUUGAUAAAGACCAUUUCCUUUCUUCUCAAUUUUUACAAGCCCCGGGAUAAGAAAGCAAUUUUUCCAACUGGAAAUGAUGAGAAUGAUGGAAAUGUAGUGUUGCCAUGGCCAGCCUUUUUGAUGAGCUGGAGGCGCAGAAUCGGAAAGGAAGAUGAAUUGCUUUUCUUCAACGGUUGUGAGGAAGCUGGUCUAAAAGUGAAGCAUAUUGGAUCCCGUGUAUAUUGCAUCUAUCCCAAAGAAAAUGAGAAAUCAGAAACAAAAUCUUGACUAAACAAUGUAGUAAUGAAGCAUGCCUAAAGGAGAAUGAAAUGAAAAUUGAAAGGUAACAUACAAAAAUUACAAGGCAUGGUGGAGCCCCCAAGGGUUGGCAUGAUGUAUAAUAUUUUUUGGGUUAUUACUAACAUGACCCAUUAAUUUCAAAUGUCAGGAGAUACGGUAUCUACGGACAAAUCACUCUGCGGUGACUUUGUUUUCGCUGAAGACGACAAAGCUGAUAUUUUAGCCACACUAGUGUGGUGGUAUUAUGUCUCGAAACUUUGAGUCGCAAGUUUGAGAUUGCUUUGCUUAUGAUUUCUUUGGAAUGGGAUGUGAUACGUAAUUAUGUACGUAUGAUGGACCCAAAAGAAAAUUUGGUACGGAAGUCAAGACUACGUUUGUGUACAGGGAUCCGGAUCCUUUGCAGCGUUGGCAGGAACUGCAGGAAUCUAAUAAAACUUGAUUUUGGCUUAAGCAAAAAAUUUAGCUUAAGCGAAUUUAGUUAAAAAGUGAAUUUUUGCUUAAGCUAAAAAAUUCGCUUAAGCCAAAAUUGUGAAAAAUUUCAAAAUUUCAUCUUCUACUUUAAAUUGCAGAAAAUUCAAGAAACAUUUAUUUCUCACCAACAACUACUUAGUUACUAAAGACUUUUACAUAAUUUAUCACACCAAAUAUU